AACGUAGGAGACAAACGUUAUCCGGAGUUACUGGGCGUAAAGGGCGUGUAGGCGGUCUGUUAAGUCUGGCGUGAAAGCUCUCGGCUAAACCGGGAGAGGUCGUUGGAUACUGGCAGACUAGAGGACGGUAGAGGCGUGUGGAAUUCCGGGUGUAGUGGUGAAAUGCGUAGAUAUUGCUAGGAACACCAAUGGCGAAGGCAGUUUGCUGGGAUUUUUCUGACGGUCAGGGACGAAAGCGUGGGGAGCGAACAGG
rnacentral:rRNA from 1 species